rnacentral:rRNA from 1 species
UGCAGUCGAGCGGUAACAGAUCUAGCUUGCUAGAUGCUGACGAGCGGCGGACGGGUGAGUAACGCGUAGGAAACUGCCGAGUAGUGGGGGAUAGCCCAGAGAAAUUUGGAUUAAUACCGCAUACGCCCUACGGGGGAAAGGAGGGGAUCUUCGGACCUUUCGCUAUUCGAUGUGCCUGCGUGAGAUUAGCUUGUUGGUGAGGUAAAGGCUCACCAAGGCGACGAUCUCUAGCUGGUUUGAGAGGAUGAUCAGCCACACUGGGACUGAGACACGGCCCAGACUCCUACGGGAGGCAGCAGUGGGGAAUAUUGCACAAUGGGGGAAACCCUGAUGCAGCCAUGCCGCGUGUGUGAAGAAGGCCUUCGGGUUGUAAAGCACUUUCAGCAGUGAGGAAAGGUUGUAAGUUAAUACCUUGCAGCUAUGACGUUAACUGCAGAAGAAGGACCGGCUAACUCCGUGCCAGCAGCCGCGGUAAUACGGAGGGUCCGAGCGUUAAUCGGAAUUACUGGGCGUAAAGCGCGCGUAGGCGGCUAGGUCAGUCAGAUGUGAAAGCCCCGGGCUUAACCUGGGAAUUGCAUCUGAUACUGCUUGGCUAGAGUACAGAAGAGGGUGGUGGAAUUUCCUGUGU